rnacentral:rRNA from 1 species
GUUUAUCCAACCUGACCACCACUUGGGGAUAACCUUGCUAAAGUAAGACUAAUACCCAAUGACGUCUCUAGAAGACAUCUGAAAGAGAUUAAAGAUUUAUCGGUGAUGGAUGGGGAUGCGUCUGAUUAGCUUGUUGGCGGGGUAACGGCCCACCAAGGCUACGAUCAGUAGGGGUUCUGAGAGGAAGGUCCCCCACAUUGGAACUGAGACACGGUCCAAACUCCUACGGGAGGCAGCAGUGAGGAAUAUUGGUCAAUGGACGAGAGUCUGAACCAGCCAAGUAGCGUGCAGGAUGACGGCCCUAUGGGUUGUAAACUGCUUUUAUAAGGGAAUAAAGUGAGUCUCGUGAGACUUUUUGCAUGUACCUUAUGAAUAAGGACCGGCUAAUUCCGUGCCAGCAGCCGCGGUAAUACGGAAGGUCCGGGCGUUAUCCGGAUUUAUUGGGUUUAAAGGGAGCGUAGGCCGGAGAUUAAGCGUGUUGUGAAAUGUAGAUGCUCAACAUCUGCACUGCAGCGCGAACUGGUUUCCUUGAGUACGCACAAAGUGGGCGGAAUUCGUGGUGUAGCGGUGAAAUGCUUAGAUAUCACGAAGAACUCCGAUUGCGAAGGCAGCUCACUGGAGCGCAACUGACGCUGAAGCUCGAAAGUGCGGGUAUAGAACAGGAUUAGAUACCCUGGUAGUCCGC